UCCUCCAAGGCUAAAUACUCCUGACUGACCGAUAGUGAACCAGUACCGUGAGGGAAAGGCGAAAAGAACCCCGGCGAGGGGAGUGAAAAAGAACCUGAAACCGUGUACGUACAAGCAGUGGGAGCCUCUUAAUGGGGUGACUGCGUACCUUUUGUAUAAUGGGUCAGCGACUUAUAUUCUGUAGCAAGGUUAACCGAAUAGGGGAGCCGAAGGGAAACCGAGUCUUAACUGGGCGUUAAGUUGCAGGGUAUAGACCCGAAACCCGGUGAUCUAGCCAUGGGCAGGUUGAAGGUUGGGUAACACUAACUGGAGGACCGAACCGACUAAUGUUGAAAAAUUAGCGGAUGACUUGUGGCUGGGGGUGAAAGGCCAAUCAAACCGGGAGAUAGCUGGUUCUCCCCGAAAGCUAUUUAGGUAGCGCCUCGUGAAUUCAUCUCCGGGGGUAGAGCACUGUUUCGGCAAGGGGGUCAUCCCGACUUACCAACCCGAUGCAAACUGCGAAUACCGGAGAAUGUUAUCA
rnacentral:rRNA from 1 species